rnacentral:hammerhead_ribozyme from 1 species
AUCCAUCUGACGAGUCCCGAAUAGGAGGAAACGUGAGUUUCGGAU